GGUAAUCCCUGUAGGUUUUCGCUUCACUCACACAAGCGUAAUCACUUACGAGUGCAGAUUUUGCGCAUAAUCGUACCGUGUCAGCACAUACACACAACCAAACAGGAGCAUCGGCCGCAGCAAAAAAGGUACCGAGCAUAAAAAGGUAGAACAUCCCUUCACUCACCCAUUUCCACCCAUCAGGGAAUUGCACGCAAUCCUUCGAGCUAUUCAUCUUGCCAACCGACAAUGAGCAGCGAGCUGGAAAAAGGACACAGUCAUACAUAGCGUUAAUGCUAUGUACAAACAUCUUCCCUGUGCACCCCUGCGCUCUGUGAUUUUCAGUUUCUAUUUCCUCCUGAUCGCCCAUACACCCAUAGGUCCUCAUCAUCGCAGGAUGGUGAUGGCAUAUUAUGGCGCUACAUUGAUGGUGUUGGUGGCCUGUCCUUUUGGAUGCGAAUGAGAGCCUUUUCCAGAGUAAGAAAGAUUUGUACUUCUUCUCCGGUUCAUCUACAGCAGGGUGACGCCCUCUCUAGCAGUUGCCAGUAUGCACAUGCAGCAGCAGAACACCACCCCCUCUGUUAACUAUUCGUUCGUUCGUUCAUCGCAUCACCAACCACCGAUCGUGAUGGAACAUCGUAGCGUCGGCAACCGGUGCGGACAGCUCUGCCACUUUUUCUUGUGAGUUUAUUUCAGUCUGCACGUCCUUUGCUUCGGCAGCCUCGGUGGGUGGCGAUUGGUGCUGAUCCCAAUGAAUAUCGCAGUAACUACCAGCGGUGUUCCUUCAAGGAUCAUCCCGCUCCGGAGCACAUCAUCUUUCUGCUCUGGUAGCAUCCUACGGCUUUGUAAAGGAUCUACCGCAGUAAAACCCACAAGGAAAUCAUCUCUAUACUCGUAAAAAUUACCGUCUGCUCGGUCGAGUGUGCAAAAUUUUGCAUAUCCCAUCGAUCGGCUGUGGUCCGACGUGGGAUCAAACAACCGUAGUUCGGCAGACCAUAAUCCGUUUAGGGUUCGAAAACUAUGGGUGAGAAGAAAAAACAAAAAAAUAAUGAUAAUAAAAUUUUCAAGAAGGUACCGAAUGAGGUAGAUCAAAGUGGAACAUUGUAAUCUGUUCAAAACAUCCUUAAUCCGAUAUACAGCGCGGCGGCAGGCGGCAGGCGGCAGGCGGCAAGUGUGCCUUUGGUCUUAAAUCAUAUCGAACUGCAUAUUCUUCAUUUUAUCCUGCUCUCCUCGCAUUUUAGUUAGACUCCGGCUUUCGGUUACACGUGGUAUAUUUUUUUAUGAAAUAUCCUCAUUUGAUUUGGUUUCUUCUGGCCGAUGCAUAACUUUAACAUAGUAUAUGUAAUAUGUAGAUGUUCCAUUUUAAGAAAUUCGUUGUCCUAUCUUAUCAAGUGCUUAAGGAAGUUUCCGGUAAUGUUCUUGAAUUUAUUUGAAUGUUUCUUUCACGUUUUGUCUCUUUAGUGCAUUGUCCUAGAAUUAAUGAAAAAAAUGUAUU